GAAAAGGGAGGCGAAGUAGAACUUACCCCGACCAUGGUCGGGUAAAACGAAGAUAGCAUCUCGGUCACUUGCCGAGACCUCAGCACCUCCACGUCGGCAGGGAGGAGGAUCCCCUGGCAAAGCCUCCUGGCCAGGUUGUGGUCGGCUAGUGCCGACGCUCCUUCGGGGAACUGAGCGCUGGGCGGCACAGUGCGACUCCCCGACCUUGUGUCGUCAGCGGGGUCCAUCGGGG
rnacentral:lncRNA from 1 species